GUAAGUAAAAGUCGUAACAAGGUUUCUGUAGGUGAACCUGCAGAAGGAUCAUUAGUGAAGAUUCAAGGGCCAGCCAUACAGACGUACAAUAAGUGUGUCUCUGGCGGCUCGCAUCCACUAUACAUCCAUAAACCCGUGUGCACUGUUCUAAGGAGUAAGAAAGAAGAAGAAGGGGGAGGGAGAGAGAGUGCAUGUGCUUUGCAUAUAACUCUCUCACUCUCCACUCUCUUUCUCUCUCUCUCCGGUUAAUUACAAACUCGUAUGGAUUUGUAUGAACGUGAGAUAUAUCGUUGGACCGUCACUGGCCAACAAAUAUAACACAACUUUCGACAACGGAUCUCUUGGUUCUCCCAUCGAUGAAGAACGCAGCGAAACGCGAUAGGUAAUGUGAAUUGCAGAAUUCCGUGAAUCAUCGAAUCUUUGAACGCACCUUGCGCUCUAUGGUAUUCCGUAGAGCAUGCCUGUUUGAGUGCCGUGAAUUCUCCCAUCCCAAGCGGUUUUUAUCAAAGAAUUGCUAGGCGAUGGGGUUGAGAUGGGCGUUAUUAUAACUGCUUUUCUUCUCUAGAAAAAGCUCGCCCGAAAAACAGCUAACGCCUCUGGGCCACUUUGCAUCCGCUUCUCUGAGGGGAGAAGCGGCCAAGCGCGCUCUGAUCAUCAGGCAUAGCAUGAUACGUCAUUUGCUAUGCUGUAGGAGAGCAUUUGGUUGUGGUUAUACCGCGUGCGUCAUUUUUUCUUUUGCAAAACGCAAAGGAAAAAAACCCCCUUUCAUUUCUGGUCUCAAAUCAGGUAGGAUCACCCGCUGAACUUAAGCAUAUCAAUAAGCGGAGGAA
rnacentral:rRNA from 1 species